UGCACGGUGGCAGAUGUAGGUAUGGGCGACAUGGGCAGUCGCCCAGGGUGUAAUCUUGCAAUUUCUGGGGGGGAAUGGUGACAUUUGCGCGAUCGGUUUUCUAUCGCUCAUUUGCACGUCAUGUCAAUGAUAUCAUGUCACCGUGUGGGACUGUGGGUAUAUUAACCUUGUCGCAGUGGGCGCCCUGAUUCUGGUUUGUGAGCUAGGCAGGCUACUGCCUGGGAAGGUCUCCCACUCAGAAGUACGAGAUGGGGAGGGGGACAGGGGUAGGUUGACCUCAGGUCUCCCCACUGGAAUCCCGAGGUAGGAGGAGCGGGGGAAUCUAUCAAAUAGUGCAUCUCUAACUUUGUACAGUACUAAUGCAAUUAGUAAAAUCAGUCACACUACGAAAUGCUACCAAAUAAGUCACAAUUCAUUCAUAAUACUGUGAAUAUAUAGUUUCACAGACAUAUUGUUAGCAUUUUUUUCUGGUUUGUGCGAAAUCGUUAAGAAUAAUAUAGAACCAGUCUGCACACCACCAAGGUGAAUUGGUUUAGUCUUGACUCUUGGUUGACAGUGUUGGCGGAUGGGGAAUGUAUUGAUGCCAAAUCAACACAAACGGAUAAGAAAAGGUCUAAGCCAUCAGUGACCAGUUUAGGAAAAAAAGGAAAGAAGAGGAGAAACGCGCAAAAGAUAAAGGGGCACUUCUGAAAUAUUUUGGAGCACCCUCUGGCACUGGCCAGGAUAAGGAGCCAUCCACCUCCUCGGUCACACAGACCUCUUCAGAAAUGAUCUCAGAGCCUCAGGAUGAGGAACCAUCCUCCUCCUCAGUCACACAGACCUCUUCAGAAAUGAUCUCAGAGCCUCAGGAUGAGAAGCCAUCCACCUCCUCAGCCACACAGACCUCUUCAGAAAUGAUCUCAGAGCCUCAGGAUGAGGAACCAUCCACCUCCUCAGUCACACAGACCUCUUCAGAAAUGAUCUCGGAGCCUGAGGAUGAGAAGCCAUCCACCUCCUCAGUCACACAGACCUCUUCAGAAAUGAUCUCAGAGCGUCAGGAUGAAGACCCAUUUGCUUCCACUUCUCCCAAACAGGAUUAUUCAGAAAUACCUGUAGCAGAAAAUCCUGCUGCUGAGGAUGAACCACUGUCUACAGACCCUGUCUACAGACCCUGUCUACAGAUCCUGUCUACAGAUCCUGUCUACAGACCCUGUCUACAGAUCCUGUCUACAGACCCUGUCUACAGACCCUGUCUACAGAUCCUGUCUACAGACCCUGUCUACAGACCCUGUCUACAGACCCUGUCUACAGAUCCUGUCUACAGACCCUGUCUACAGACCCUGUCUACAGAUCCUGUCUACAGAUCCUGCUGACUGGCCUUCAGUUCUGACUGACAGAAUUCGGACACAACUAGUUUGCAGAGGACCAAGUGAGGUACCACCUAACUCUGUUUUCCCAAGGAAUGAGAGUGAUGGAAGAAGUUGCCACCACCAGUAUUUCAGGAAGACCUUGGUGAGUGGUGAAACAAACCCUAGAAGUUGGUUGGUGUAUUCUGAAAGAAACAACAGCCUCUUCUGCUUCUGCUGCAAACUAUUUUCUAAGAACAAAAUUAAUUUAACAAACUCAGGACUGACAGACAUGCAAGUUAUUUGCUGACUUCACACGACAGCAGUCCAGAACACCAAAACUGCAUGAAAACACAGAAAGAACUGGCAAUGAGGAUAAAAAAAGGGGAAACAAUUGAUGAGCAUGAGAUGGCACUUAUGGAGGUUAAGAGGAUAAGAUGGAGAAAGGUGUUGACACGUCUGGCGUCUGUUGUGUAGUCUCUGACAAUAAGAAAUCUGGCACUAAGGGGACACACAGGAACACUGUACUCUCCAUCAAAUGGACAUUUCCUCAAAGAGGUUGAACUGAUGGCACAAUUUGAUCCAGUCAUGAAAGAGCACCUUAACCGUGUCCAAAAAGGGACCUCGAGUCACACCACCAGCUACCUUGGCCACCAAACACAGAAUUAACUCAUUGAUUUGUUGAGCAGCAAGGUCAUUUCAAUAAUGGUGAGUGACAUCAAGCUGGCAAAAUUCUUCUCUAUCAUUCUAGAUUGCACCUCAGAUGUCAGCCACACUGAACAGUUGUCAGUUGUGAUUAGAAUUGUGUCACUGAAGGAGGAGCCCCACAUAAAGAAAAUGUAUGGAGAAAAAUGUUUUAUGAAAUGUAUGCAUUCACUACUGUAAGUCGCUCUGGAAAAGAGCGUCUGCUAAAAUGACUAAAAUGUAAAUGUAAAGGAACAUUUUAUGGGGUUUUUGGAGGCAGAGGAGUCCACGGGCCAACAUUUGGAAUCCCUUAUUCUCAAAAGAUUAGAGGAGAUAAAAAAUCAUUUUGAGGACUGCAGAGGACAGUCUUAUGAUAAUGGGGCCAACAUGGGAGGCAAAAACAUGGGGCCAACAUGGGAGGCAAAAACAAAGGUGUCCAAGCCAGACUCCUGGAAAUGAAUCAAAGAGCUCUAUUUGUACCAUGUGGGGCUCACACAUUGAACCUGGUUGUGGCUGAUGCUGCUAAAAGUUCUGUAGAUGCCACAGGUUUCAUUGGCAUGUUACACAAACUGUACACCUUGUUCUCAGCCUCCAGACAGAGAUGGGCCAUCCUGAAAAAACAUGUGGACAUCACUUUGAAGAUGUGGACUGAGACGAGGUGGGAGAGUAAAGUUAAGAGUGUUUAGACACUGAGGUAUCAGGCAGCAGCGGUGAGAGAGGCACUGAGGUAUCAGGCAGCAGCGGUGAGAGAGGCACUGAGGUAUCAGGCAGCAGCGGUGAGAGAGGUACUGAGGUAUCAGGCAGCAGCGGUGAGAGAGGUACUGAGGUAUCAGGCAGCAGCGGUGAGAGAUGCACUGAUUGAGGUGAGGGAUUAAACCAAAGACCCUGUGAUAAAGAUUGUCCUUGUCAGAGGAGGUGGGAUCAUACCGCUUCAGCGUCUGUACAGUGGUGUGGUAUGACAUCUGGAGCCAGAUCCAACAUGUGAUCAAGCUGAUGUAGUCUCCCAGUAUGCAUGUGGAUGUUGCAGUCAGUCUUCUCAGAAAGACAGAGAGAGGUCUCAGCAACUACAGGGCAACACAAACGUCAGCCGAGGAUAUUUGCGAGGGUAUGAAUGUAGAGGCCGUUCUACAACAAAAAAGGCUGAGGUCCACAAUGCGGCACUUCAUACGAAUCAUUUGAUCAGAUCAAAUCAAACUUUAUUUGUCACAUGCGCCGAAUACAAAAAGUGUAGACUUUACUGUGAAAUGCUUACUUACAAGCCCUUAACCAACAGUGCAGUUCAAGAAGAGUUAAGAAAAUAUUUACCAAGUAGACUUAAAUAAAAAGUAAUAAUAAAAAGUAACACAAUAAGAAUAACAAUAACGAGGCUAUAUACAGAGGGCACCGGUACAGAGUCAGUGUGGAGGCUAUAUACAGGGUGUUACGGUACAGAGUCAAUGUGGAGGCUAUAUACAGGGGGCACCGGUACUGAGUCAGUGUGGAGGCUAUAUACAGGGUGUUACGGUACAGAGUCAAUGUGGAGGCUAUAUACAGGGGGUACCGGUACAGAGUCAGUGUGGAGGCUAUAUACAGGGUGUUACGGUACAGAGUCAAUGUGGAGGCUAUAUACAGGCGGUACCGGGACAGUCAGUGUGGAGGCUAUAUACAGGGGGUACCAGUACAGAGUCAGUGUGGAGGCUAUAUACAGGGGGUACCGGUACAGAGUCAAUGUGGAGGCUAUAUACAGGGGGUACUGGUACAGAGUCAAUGUGGAGGCUAUAUACAGGGGGUACUGGUACAGAGUCAAUGUGGAGGCUAUAUACAGGGUGUCAGGUACAGAGUCAGUGUGGAGGCUAUAUACAGGGUGUUACGGUACAGAGUCAAUGUGGAGGCUAUAUACAGGGGGCACCGGUACUGAGUCAGUG
rnacentral:lncRNA from 1 species